rnacentral:rRNA from 1 species
CGCUUAUAAUGAGAUAGAGAGUCUGACCUGCCCGGUGAUGUAGGAAUUAACGGCCGCAGUACCCUGACUGUGCAAAGGUAGCAUAAUCAUUUGCCUUUUAAUUGAGGGCUAGUAUGAAAGGUUUGACGUGGACUAAGCUGUCUCCUGAGGAUUAUAUAGAAAUUAAUUUUUAGGUGAAAAAGCCUAAAUACGGUUAUGGGACGAGAAGACCCCGUUGAGCUUUAACUAAACUUGGGGAUAGGAAAAACAGAAAGUGUAUUGAACUAAUUCCCAAGGUGUUUUUAGUGGGGGAAAACGGAGGAACAAACAAAGCUUCCUCUUUUUAAGAUAAAUUGAAACACAAACUAAGAGUAUGUGUAGGUUUAUAUUUAAAUUAAGGCUGAUGUGCAAAGGUUUAAUAAAAGGAUCCGUUUAUACAAAUAAAAACGAUUAAGGGAGAAAGUUACCACGGGGAUAACAGCGUAAUUUCUUCUGGAGAGUUCAUAUUGAAGGAGGGGUUUGCGACCUCGAUGUUGGAUUAAGACAUCCUGGGGGUGUAGCAGCUCUAAGGGUUGUC